rnacentral:ncRNA from 1 species
UAGAAAUAUGAAAUGAGAGCAGAAGAGCACUCCCCUUGGUUAGGAUGGAAGAAGCCCUAAUGAACUUAACCAUGUUUAAGACUGUCACUUACUUUUUGGCAUCUAAUGUAUAU